rnacentral:rRNA from 1 species
UACGUAGGGACCGAGCGUUGUCCGGAAUCAUUGGGCGUAAAGAGCGUGUAGGCGGCUAGACAGGUCUGCUGUGAAAACUCGAGGCUCAACCUCGAGAUGUCGGCGGAAACCGUCUGGCUAGAGUCCGGAAGAGGAGAGUGGAAUUCCUGGUGUAGCGGUGAAAUGCGCAGAUAUCAGGAAGAACACCUAUGGCGAAGGCAGCUCUCUGGGACGGUACUGACGCUGAGACGCGAAAGCGUGGGGAGCGAACAGG